rnacentral:rRNA from 1 species
GAUGAACGCUGGCGGCGUGCCUAAUACAUGCAAGUCGAGCGAACAGACGAGGAGCUUACUCCUCUGACGUUAGCGGCGGACGGGUGAGUAACACGUGGAUAACCUACCUAUAAGACUGGGAUAACUUCGGGAAACCGGAGCUAAUACCGGAUAACAUGUUGAACCGCAUGGUUCAACAGUGAAAGACGGUCCUGCUGUCACUUAUAGAUGGAUCCGCGUCGCAUUAGCUAGUUGGUAAGGUAACGGCUUACCAAGGCAACGAUGCGUAGCCGACCUGAGAGGGUGAUCGGCCACACUGGAACUGAGACACGGUCCAGACUCCUACGGGAGGCAGCAGUAGGGAAUCUUCCGCAAUGGGCGAAAGCCUGACGGAGCAACGCCGCGUGAGUGAAGAAGGUCUUCGGAUCGUAAAACUCUGUUAUUAGGGAAGAACAAAUGUGUAAGUAACUAUGCACGUCUUGACGGUACCUAAUCAGAAAGCCACGGCUAACUACGUG